CACAAUUUUCCAUUUAAUUAUUUGUUACCCUGUCUUUGAAAACUCAUUUUUUGGUGAUUUACUGUUUUCUAUAUAAAAUCAUAUUUCAUAAGGUAAAGAACAUUCUGUGAAAAUGUAACACUGAUAUCGUUAUUACUGACUGAAUAAGACCAUGUCAAAUAUUGAAAUCAUAGUGAAAUUAAUGGUUGAAAUCAAACUUUGAUGCUUGUUAUCUCAUAAUUAGACUUUGAGACCCGGAUUUCUCAGAGAGGGUCACAUUUAGUAAACUUAGUUCAUUUGUUACAGUUUGGCAACCUGGCAUUUAGCAUCCCUGUAUAAGGGCACUUUCUAAAAUUAAGUGCACCACCCUCUCUUUUAGUUCUCUUCUUCUUGGCUUUAGGUACAGAGAGAUAGACAUCACUUGUCUUGCAGUAAAACUGAUUACCAGAGAUUAGCUAAUCCUCUGUAGCAAUGUGUCCAGGAAGUUUUUAAGAUGUUCCCAAAGAUGUCACAAACUGCAGUGACAUUUGGGGAUUUGCACAAACUGCAGUGAAGUUUUGGGGAUUUUAAGGAUUACAGCUUGACAAAAUAUUGUAAUGUCAUUAAGGUUUGUGUGCACAAUGAGUAAAAAGGUAACAUGCCAAAACUCUCUGAUGAGUCCAUUCGAGUGCAUUUGUUGGACUGGGAUAAAUCUUUCAGAACAUCAAGAAGACUCAGUGAAUUGCAGGACUGUAAAAUACGGUACCACUCUAAAAUGAAUAGUCUCAUAUUAUUGACCAUGCUGUGGCUCAAUCCCUCUGGAGCUGUAAGUAAAUGUUGUUUUUGAAUGAUGCUUCUACUCUCAUAGUAGUUUAUAUCACAUCUUAUAAUUCUGGUGUGAUGUAAAUGAGCAGCCCUGCUUAUUUAAGCCUUUAGAAUGGAAUCAAACAACAUCAUAUGAUACUUUAUUAAAUGACAAUGAUUACAAUAUUGUGAACUCAUGUCAUGCUUAUUUCCUCACAGCUGUGCCACCGUCAUAAACCCUGGAGCUCCUCUGGCAGUGAUGAGUCCCUGCCCCAGCCUCGGCUCCGGUUCCGGCUCCUGCCCCACUCCGAUUCCAGCCACAGCCCUGGCUCCCACAGCCACACCCAGCCCCCCAGUCGUCAACACCACUGUCCGUGGAGAUGGUCCACCGUAGGGCAGGAGUCCGUUUGGAGCCGAACAAUGACAUUAAAGUACCCUUGAGAUUUUAAGUAAUGCUUUCAAUAAACAUAAUGAAUAUCACA
ensembl:lncRNA